rnacentral:rRNA from 1 species
UAGGGAAUAUUGCGCAAUGGGCGAAAGUCUGACGCAGCGACGCCGCGUGGGGGAUGAAGGUCUUCGGAUUGUAAACCCCUUUCGGGAGGGAAGAUGGAGUGGGUAACCACUUGGACGGUACCUCCAGAAGCAGCCACGGCUAACUUCGUGCCAGCAGCCGCGGUAAUACGAAGGUGGCAAGCGUUGUUCGGAUUCACUGGGCGUACAGGGAGCGUAGGCGGUUGGGUAAGCCCUCCGUGAAAUCUCCGGGCCUAACCCGGAAAGUGCAGAGGGGACUGCUCAGCUAGAGGAUGGGAGAGGAGCGCGGAAUUCCCGGUGUAGCGGUGAAAUGCGUAGAGAUCGGGAGGAAGGCCGGUGGCGAAGGCGGCGCUCUGGAACAUUUCUGACGCUGAGGCUCGAAAGCGUGGGGAGCAAACAGGAUUAGAUACCCCCGUAGUCCCUGAGCGGGCUGGCAAGGCGCAU